rnacentral:rRNA from 1 species
UACGUAGGGUCCGAGCGUUGUCCGGAAUCAUUGGGCGUAAAGCGCAUGUAGGCGGCCGUGUAAGUCGGAUGUGAAAGCCCGAGGCUUAACUUCGGAAUUGCAUUCGAUACUGCACGGCUUGAGGAAGGUAGAGGAGAGUGGAAUUCCCGGUGUAGCGGUGGAAUGCGCAGAUAUCGGGAGGAACACCAGCGGCGAAGGCGGCUCUCUGGGCCUCUCCUGACGCUGAGAUG